rnacentral:tRNA from 2 species
GCAUUGGUGGUUCAGUGGUAGAAUUCUCGCCUCCCACGUGGGUGACCCGGGUCCGAUUCCCGGCCAAUGCA